ACCGAACCGACUAAUGUUGAAAAAUUAGCGGAUGACCUGUGGCUGGGGGUGAAAGGCCAAUCAAACCGGGAGAUAGCUGGUUCUCCCCGAAAGCUAUUUAGGUAGCGCCUCGUGAAUUCAUCUCCGGGGGUAGAGCACUGUUUCGGCUAGGGGGCCAUCCCGGCUUACCAACCCGAUGCAAACUGCGAAUACCGGAGAAUGUUAUCACGGGAGACACACGGCGGGUGCUAACGUCCGUCGUGAAGAGGGAAACAACCCAGACCGCCAGCUAAGGUCCCAAAGUCAUGGUUAAGUGGGAAACGAUGUGGGAAGGCCCAGACAGCCAGGAUGUUGGCUUAGAAGCAGCCAUCAUUUAAAGAAAGCGUAAUAGCUCACUGGUCGAGUCGGCCUGCGCGGAAGAUGUAACGGGGCUAAACCAUGCACCGAAGCUGCGGCAGCGAACGUAUCACCCAAGACAACUUUACGGAGUUGACGAUUGACGGAGCGAAGCGACGUCAAAGCGUUCAUUAAAGUCGAGUUGGCUUAGGGAUACGUUCGUUGGGUAGGGGAGCGUUCUGUAAGCCUGUGAAGGUGUGUCGUGAGGCAUGCUGGAGGUAUCAGAAGUGCGAAUGCUGACAUAAGUAACGAUAAAGCGGGUGAAAAGCCCGCUCGCCGGAAGACCAAGGGUUCCUGUCCAACGUUAAUCGGGGCAGGGUGAGUCGACCCCUAAGGCGAGGCCGAAAGGCGUAGUCGAUGGGAAACGGGUUAAUAUUCCCGUACUUGGUGUUACUGCGAAGGGGGGACGGAGAAGGCUAUGUUGGCCGGGCGACGGUUGUCCCGGUUUAAGCGUGUAGGUGUGUGUUCCAGGUAAAUCCGGUUCACUUUAACACUGAGGCGUGACGACGAGGCACUACGGUGCUGAAGCAACAAAUGCCCUGCUUCCAGGAAAA
rnacentral:rRNA from 1 species